rnacentral:rRNA from 1 species
UACGUAGGUGGCGAGCGUUGUCCGGAGUUACUGGGCGUAAAGGGCGAGUAGGCGGCUUGUUAAGUCAGGUGUGAAAUUCCAAGGCUCAACCUUGGAACUGCGCUUGAAACUGGCAGGCUUGAGGACAGGAGAGGGAAGUAGAAUCCCCGGUGUAGCGGUGAAAUGCGUAGAUAUCGGGGGGAAUACCAGUGGCGAAGGCGGCUUCCUGGACUGUACCUGACGCUGAGGAGCGAAAGCUAAGGGAGCAAACAGGAUUAGAUACCCCUGUAGUCCCUGA